GAGGUUGUGGCUCAGUGGUAGAGCGCUUGCCUAGCAUGCAUGAGGCCCUGGAGUCGAUCCUCAGCACCACA
rfam:Ictidomys tridecemlineatus contig030081, whole genome shotgun sequence.